rnacentral:misc_RNA from 1 species
GAAAUAAUCAAAUAUGUCAUCUACAAAGUCAAAUUCCAUAUUUACCUGUUGUUUUCUAUUGGAUUCAUGCCCUCCUCUGGCCUCUCCCUCCAAGUUGGGAGUAAAAAACGGUAGCUCGACGAGUCUUCUAACCGUUUGUGGAAAUGCCCAAACAGCUGAUGUUUUUCUACAUUUGGUUUUGCCGAUGUUGCGAUUUCCAAUUCGCCCAGAUUACGGCGCCUGCCAAGUCAUCAACAGCCACUGCCGCCCCACCUUAUCCUCUUAUCCUUCAAGUGGGCUUCCAUGCCUUGGUUAAUGCCAUUAUUCCAGAAAUUAUUUUCCUUCUCACGUUUUUUAUGGGAAAUGAAUUGAUUUCACUCUAAAGGUUAUGUAUUCUCAUGAUGGGUUGCUUUCUUUCUUUAUUUGUUUGCAGGAUUGCUACAAACCAAAGGAAGGAAACUGCUUUCUUUGCUUUUAGCCUUCCUUGUUCUGCGCUCUCUUCGCAAAUCUAUCUAUUAUCCAUUUCUCUCCAAAACUAAUGGAAGGCACCACCCCAUCUAAUGGACGUCUUGAUUUUGGGAAGAUGGGCUAUGGAUGCGAGCAUUACAGGAGAAGAUGCAAGAUUCGAGCUCCGUGCUGCAACGAGGUCUUCCCUUGUCGCCAUUGUCACAACGAGGCCGCGAGCAUGUUGAAGAACCCCUAUGAUCGGCACGAGCUCAAUCGCUACGAUGUCAAGCAAGUAAUAUGUUCAGUUUGUGACACAGAGCAGCCGGUUGCUAAAGUUUGUAUGAACUGUGGGGUCAAUAUGGGGGAAUACUUCUGUGGAGUCUGCAAAUUCUAUGACGAUGAUGUAAUCUUACCUUUUGAAAUUGAAUAAUCAAUAUUGGUUUAUUGAAAAAUUACUCCUUUGCUGUUUCUAAUAUUUAUUUUGUUUCUGGUAGAUAUUAUGAGUCUCUCUUAUGUUCGGAUCACUUGAGUAGUUGAUAUUAGUAACUGAUAUUAGCUUUUGGUAAUCUAUGAUGCAGACAGAGAAAGGGCAGUUCCAUUGUGAUGAUUGUGGGAUCUGUAGGUAAGUAAUCCUAGUUUUGGUUCGUUAGUUCUUUUUGUCUCCCUUAAAUGUUGCCAAUGAAUUCAUGAAAUUAAAUUCCUGUGUCUGUGAUGUAAAACAGAGUUGGUGGCCUUGAGAAUUAUUUUCACUGCAAUAAGUGUGGUAUGCGCUAGCUACCUCAUUGCUUUGCUGUUCAUGCGCAUCUUGCAAUUAGUUACAGUUUAUAUUUCUUCCUUCUGAUGGCAUUUGAGCUCUUAUGCAUACUAGUUUUUUAACUAUAGAUUCCAUCCCUUCCUGAUAUGCAUUUAGAUCCUUUUGCCAGAAUCUCCUGUAUGCUGACAAUGUUUAAUGUAUAUGCAGGUUCUUGCUAUUCAAUUAGCCUGUGCGGUAAUCAUUCAUGUGUGGAGAACUCCAUGCGCCACCACUGCCCCAUAUGUUAUGAGUACUUGUUUGACUCGCUAAAAGACACUAGUGUAAUGAAAUGCGGGCACACAAUGCAUUUUGAAUGUUAUUGCGAGAUGAUAAAGCGUGAUAAGUAAGUUCUCUGGCGUGAUAAGUAAGUUCUCUGGAAGUUGUACUUUAGUUUUGUUUUUGUGAUUCUCAAGUCAAAACUUGGUUUUAACUUUAAUCGGCAGAUACUGUUGUCCCAUAUGCUCCAAAUCAGUGAUUGACAUGUCCAAAACCUGGAAGAGAAUAGAUGAGGAGAUAGAAGCAACCAUCAUGCCUGAGGAUUACCGCUACAAGAAGGUUCUUGCUUCCAUCUUUAUUAACAUAUAUUUACCUGAUUUAUGUAUCUACUCUAUCUAGUUCAGUUAGUUUACCCUCUAUGUAUUGCUUUAAAGAAUGCUGCAGCCCUGAUCUAAGAGUCUACCAGUGUGCUAUAUGAUGUGCUGUCAGGGAUUUAAUGUGAUUUUGGGGGUACUUUUCAUAACACGUCAUUAUGAGUUACCAAAAAAGGAAAACCUACAUAGAAAAUAGAUGUAAGUUAAGCUUGUGAACUUACAUAUAAUCUGAUUUGCAUCAGUCAUGCUAGCCUGUCUCCUAUGUUUGAAUCAAGUAAUUUGUAUCAGUGGCACUGAAAUUGGCUGCAUUGUUAAUCUUUUCAAGUAAUAUUCACUGAAAGACCUCUAAAAAGCAAGGAAGAUUUGCAGGUUUGGAUCCUCUGUAAUGACUGCAAUGACACAACAGAAGUCUACUUCCACAUAAUUGGGCAGAAGUGCAGCCACUGCAAAUCAUACAAUACCCGCACAAUAGCACCUCCUGUUCUUCCCCAAUGACGGAGUUAUGGUUAUGGGAAAAUAUCCAGCCAUGUAAGAGCAUUGAGAGCUUGCAUCCCAAGCAUAAAACAAAUGGUGUACACAUAAUUGCAGCUCUAGCAUUUUCAAUGAUUAUUGCUUUUUAAACAGAAUUCUGUACCAUUACAACAUGAUUCGACUGCAGCAUUUGCAUUGAUGCCUCAGAAACGUUUUUCUCAUGUUAUUCUUCCUCCAAUUUACAGAAUUAAAACCCUGGUAUUAAGUCUCUGGGUUGAUGUAGACAUAUACAGCAAUCCAUAUACAGGAAUGUUGUUUCCUUGCUAUGAAUUCUCAGUGAUUGUUUUGGAUAACUGGUUGGGCUGUGCAAUAGUUGUUCCCCCUGUGACAUGUUCAAUAACCUGGGAAAAGCAUUGCUAAUCGUUGGCGAGAAGUUCUGAUGAUACUAAAUUUUCUAUGUUCAUUCAUAUAUGACCCUUGAUUGAGUUGGUAGAUGAAUGCCUACCUAUAAUGGAUGAGAUUAAAAAUUUA